rnacentral:rRNA from 1 species
GUUGUACGAAAGUUUAUACUUUAGUAGCGGACGGGUGAGUAAUACGUGAGAAUCUGCCUUUGGGAGGGGAACAACAGUUGGAAACGACUGCUAAUGCCCCAUAUGCUUACGAGUGAAAAGGUUAAUCCGCCCGAAGAUGAGCUCACGCCUGAUUAGCUAGUUGGUAAGGUAAAGGCUUACCAAGGCAACGAUCAGUAGCUGGUUUGAGAGGAUGAUCAGCCACACUGGGACUGAGAUACGGCCCAGACUUCUACGGAAGGCAGCAGUGGGGAAUUUUCCGCAAUGGGCGAAAGCCUGACGGAGCAAUACCGCGUGAGGGAAGAAUGCCCGUGGGUUGUAAACCUCUUUUUUUAGGGAAGAAAAUAUGACGGUACCUAAAGAAUAAGCAUCGGCUAACUCCGUGCCAGCAGCCGCGGUAAUACGGGGGAUGCAAGCGUUAUCCGGAAUCACUGGGCGUAAAGAGUCUGUAGGUGGCUUGGUAAGUCUACUGUUAAAUAUUAAAGCUUAACUUUGAAUAAGCAGUAGAAACUAUUAGGCUAGAGUAUGGUAGGGGUAGAGGGAAUUCCCAGUGUAGCGGUGAAAUGCGUAGAUAUUGGGAAGAACACCGGUGGCGAAAGCGCUCUACUGGACCAUUACUGACACUCAGAGACGAAAGCUAAGGUAGCGAAUGGGAUUAGAUACCCCAGUA